UUGCCCAUUUAAGACCUUCAGUGUCCUAAAUGAUCAACACAGGGGGGAAGAAUAACUCUCUCAAAAACCUGAGGUGAAGGUUACUGAUUCCUAGCCUCGGAUCCUGUCGGGAGAAACACAA